rnacentral:rRNA from 1 species
AUUGAACGCUGGCGGCAGGCCUAACCCAUGCAAGUCGAGCGGAGCGGCGGACGGGUGAGUAAUGCCUAGGAAUCUGCCUGGUAGUGGGGGAUAACGUCCGGAAACGGGCGCUAAUACCGCAUACUAUCAGAUGAGCCUAGGUCGGCUUAGCUAGUUGGUGGGGGAAAGGCAUACCACGGCGAAGAUCCGUAACUGGGCUGAGAGGAAGAUCAGUCACACUUGAACUAGGACACGUUCAAGACUCCUACGGGAGGCAGCAGUGGGGAAUAUUGGACAAUGGGAGAAAGCCUGAUCCAGCCAGGCCGCGUGUGUGAAGAAGGUCUGCGGAUUGUAAAGCACUUUAAGUUGGGAGGCGUUACCAACAGAAUAAGCACCGGCGAACUUCGUGCCAGCAGCCGCGGUAAUG